AUAUAUGAAUCAAAUGGCUAUUCGUAAGUCGUAACCCCUUAGCAGAAGGCCACGGAAGAAGCUCUUUCAGAAAUUCAUCAUCUUUCCUCUAUCCAUCCUUUGAAGGAUGAGGGCUGCAUACUGUGAUCAUCUGCUUCACACUCGUAUCUUCUUAUCGUCUCCUACAAUCGCUUACCAACAAAAUCUGAGUGUCGGCUUCUCCGUCUCUAAAGCAGCAGAACAGAAUCGGGAUGGUCGGACUCGGAGAUUGGUGCAUGCUUCUUGCGGUGCAAUCAGAGCCGUAGAUGGAGCUCAGCUAUCGCCCUGGGAUGAGAAACCUUAUGAGAUUCUGCCAAGUGGGAAAAAGGCCUACUUGGAUGAGCAAGAUGUGGUGACAUUUCUUGAUCCUCCAAAAGAAUUGAUUCCUCUCGACCCUGGGUCUUACAAUCCAGCUGCAUAUCUAUGGAAAAAAAUUGAAGACAUUCCGGAAGAAAGGCGUCAUAGAUUGCUGACCUUGCUAAAACCUAGGCUUAUAUCAAGAGCUUGGCAGAUAGCUGGCACCCGCCAUGAGGAUCCUCAGUUAGCUAGGAAAUGUGCAUCCAACUUGUUAUGUUCUGAAGAAAAGGAACCAUCACUAGAAUUCUAUAAUUGCCAAAGCAGUGGAGGACCUUGGCCUAUUGCUUGGAUGAAAUCCUUCAAGAAGGCUAUAUUCCAUUGUGAUAAUGGAAAGACUUAUGGGAGAUUGAUUGGUGGGUCAGCUCUGGCACAAAUUACAAAUACCUGUAGUCCAUUGUAUUUUAUGGUAGUGCAAUGUGGGGAAGUAAUGUCAACAGAGCAGCCUUGCGAUCUAGCAUAUGAAUUGGGGGAUGGGCACCUGAAUCUCCAUAACUAUCCUCAAGGUUUUCCAAGACCAGGUGGGAUUUGUGUAUGACAUUUAAGUCAAUGUGUCGACUGAGAUUAUAGCAGCUUAUGCAGGUGCUUCUUAUUGUUUUCUUGUGGCAAAGUUGCAAGAAUUUCUCUUCGUCAUUUCUCCCUGCUUUGUUGACUUGACAAGAUGAUGCUGAUUUUGCAUUUUCAUUCAACAAGAUCAUAAUUCUGGUAACCUAUCUUAUAUAUAUCAACUGAAAACAACUAAGCCUUUGUCCAAGUCUUUGGUUUUGGCUACAUUGAUCAUUUUCCUCCAGUUCAUUUGGGCUACACUUAUAUAAGAUCUAAUGCUGUCAAUGACAAAUAUUUUUCACCAUUUCAUGGCAAACAGGUUUUAAAUUGCAGUUGUGGCUGCAGCUGCAUUUACGGUUACAACCUACAAUUGCAUCAAAAAUUUGAGUCUUCAUAAAUUUAACUCUCUCAACUCAUCUUCAGCGAGUGCCUUCCACCUUCAUUUGACUCAUUAAAUAUUCGGUCUUGUUUUUUAUUCCUUCACAUCCAUCUUUUUGUCUUUAUCUCCACCAAGCUAAGUUUAUAAAGGAUUUUUUUUAACUGACUAUGCCUUCUGCCGUAAAAGUUGACUGUCAUAUUGCAGUAUUGUAGAUGUUGUUUAACUUGCUUGGAUUUUAUUGUUACCUUAGGCCUUCGUUGUUCUUCAUUUCAAACACAUUGCUUUGAUCCUAUGAUUUACAUUCUCUUCACUUUUACCAUCUUUUUGUAUAAUAGAAUUUAGGCAUAAAAAUAUUGUGGUUUCAGGAGUCUCUGUACCAUCUAGAUUAACUUUACACUGCUCACUUUUUCUGGCACUGCUAGAAUUGUGAUCCAUAAUUUGUUUUAGUUGUCACUUGUAGUUAUCUUGAAACCGUGGAUUGUAUUCUGGAGCUGAAGGACUUGGUGGCUUCCUAUAUAGCUUUGAUAGUAAUAUCUUAUUUCAUAUUUAAAACCUGGAAAGUUUUUAUUAGUAAGAAAAAACUUUGUUGGAAGCUAGAAUUGCAUCCUUUGUGAAAUGUGCCAAUUUACCUUUAAAAAUCUAGAAGAUGCCAUUCAUGGGAUGUGCAAUAAUUUGCAAGAAGGCUCUUCAUAUUUACUAAGUGUGAUCCAAAGUAUUAAUUUAUCCAGAAGUUCAUUUAUUGACAAAUGGUCAGGUCUUGUAGUGCAGUAAGAAAUUCAAAUCGUAGCCUCUCAAUGUCCCUACAAGAAGAAACAAAAUUAAAGAAAAGAGCUUAUUGAUUUAUUGAUUAUUUGGCUGAGACAUAAAUAAUCAAGGCAUCCAUAUCCAUUCUAUGAUCAGGUUGUUAUAUAUGUUCGUCAUGUUGGACCUGGGGUGUCAGUGGCGCAAGCAUGGCAAGAAGGAAAGGAAUUACAGCAAGUGCCUAGGAAGCUAUGCGGGG